UACGUAGGGUGCGAGCGUGUCCGGAAUUAUUGGGCGUAAAGAGCUCGUAGGCGGUUUGUUGCGUCUAUCGUGAAAACCUGCAGCUUAACUGUGGGCUUGCGGUGGAUACGGGCAGACUUGAGUUCGGUAGGGGGAGACUGGAAUUCCUGGUGUAGCGGUGAAAUGCGCAGAUAUCAGGAGGAACACCGGUGGCGAAGGCGGGUCUCUGGGCCGAUACUGACGUGAGGAGCGAAAAGCGUGGGGAGCGAACAGG
rnacentral:rRNA from 1 species